GCUAGCGGUUGGUUAACACAUGCAAGUCGAGCGGCAGAUUCUCGGGUAACUGAGAGAUGGCGAGCGGCGCACGGGUGAGUAACGCGUAGGCAACUUACCUCUUACAGGAGGAUAGCCCGGCGAAAGCUGGAUUAAUACUUCGGAUAUAUUGUUAAGGCAUCUUAAUAAUAUUAAAGAUUUAUCGGUAAGAGAUAGGCCUGCGUCCCAUUAGCUAGUUGGUAAGGUAAAAGCUUACCAAGGCAAUAAUGGGUAGGGGGUUUGAAAGGAUGAUCCUCCACACUGGCACUGAGACACGGGCCAGACUCCUACGGGAGGCAGCAGUGAGGAAUAUUGCGCAAUGGGCGAAAGCCUGACGCAGCCAAACCGCGUGCAGGAAGACGGUCGUAAGAUUGUAAACUGCUUUAGUAUCCGAGGAACAAUCAGAACGAGUUUUUGAUUUGACAGUAGGAUACGAACAAGCACCGGCUAACUCCGUGCAAGCAGCCGCGGUAAUACGGAGGGUGCAGGCGUUAUCCGGAUUUACUAGGUUUAAAGGGUCUGUAGGCUGUAUAUCAAGUCAGUGGUGAAAUGUCU
rnacentral:rRNA from 1 species